AGAGUAAUAGCUGGGUCAAAUGGUGGUUCCAUUCCAAGUUUUCUGAGGAGUCUCCAUACUGCUUUCCAUAGUGGUUGCACCAGUUUGCAGUCCUACCAGCAGU
rnacentral:miRNA from 1 species